rnacentral:rRNA from 1 species
AGUGAACGCUGGCGGUAGGCCUAACACAUGCAAGUCGAACGGCAGCACAGUAAGAGCUUGCUCUUACGGGUGGCGAGUGGCGGACGGGUGAGGAAUACAUCGGAAUCUACUUUUUCGUGGGGGAUCACGUAGGGAAACUUACGCUAAUACCGCAUACGACCUACGGGUGAAAGCAGGGGAUCUUCGGACCUUGCGCGAUUGAAUGAGCCGAUGUCGGAUUAGCUAGUUGGCGGGGUAAAGGCCCACCAAGGCGACGAUACGUAGCUGGUCUGAGAGGAUGAUCGGCCACACUGGAACUGAGACACGGUCCAGACUCCUACGGGAGGCAGCAGUGGGGAAUAUUGGACAAUGGGCGCAAGCCUGAUCCAGCCAUACCGCGUGGGUGAAGAAGGCCUUCGGGUUGUAAAGCCCUUUUGUUGGGAAAGAAAAGCAGCAGGUUAAUACCCCGCUGUUCUGACGGUACCCAAAGAAUAAGCACCGGCUAACUUCGUG